rnacentral:pre_miRNA from 1 species
UUUGUACUCCCUCCGUCCCAAAAUUCUUGUCUUAAAUUUGUCUAAAUACGGAUGUAUCUAGUUACAUUUUAGUGUUAGAUACAUCCGUAUCUAAACAAAUGUAAGACAAGAAUUUUGGGACGGAGGGAGUACUAC